GGGGUUGUAGCUCAGUGACAGAGCCUCUGCUUUGUGUGCAGAAGGUCCUGGGUUCAAUCCCCAGCAUCUCCA